AACGAACGCUGGCGGCGUGCUUAACACAUGCAAGUCGCGUGCGCAGUUUCCGUAGCAAUACGGGGAUGGGCGCACGGCGCACGGGUGCGUAACACGUGGGCAAUCUGCCCUCCGAUGGGGAAUACCCCCGCGAAAGCGGGACUAAUUCCGCAUAACAUUCCUUGGAUUAACUUUCGAGGAUUCAAAGCAGCAAUGCGUCGGAGGAGGAGCCCGCGCCCGAUUAGCUAGUUGGUGAGGUAACGGCUCACCAAGGCAAUGAUCGGUAGCUGG
rnacentral:rRNA from 1 species